CGGGCAGCUUCGAUCCGAUUUCCUCCCUCGCCACCAGCAGACCAUGUCGAGCACCGUCAUGGCCUCGGCCCCUUCCUUCACCUCCACCUCCCAACAAUUCCUCUCUCGAGUCGCCCCCCCGUGCCCUAUCCGGCUGCCCACCGUCUCCGUUAUCGCCAGAGCCGCUCACGAGAACGGCGGCAAACCGCGCCUUCCCUCCCGCCUCCUUAAACGCCUGGCCCUCUCGUCGCGGCAUGCUGCGAUCGCCGCCGCCGCCGCCGCUGCGAUGGUGGCCGCCUCGCCGCUACCGGCCCUGGCUGAGCAGAUGGAGAAGGCGGCGCUCUUCGACUUCAACCUGACUCUGCCCGCGAUCGCCAUCGAGUUCCUGCUGCUGAUGGUGGCGCUGGACAAGAUCUACUUCACGCCCCUGGGCAAGUUCAUGGACGAGAGGGACGCCGCCAUCCGCGCGAAGCUGUCCGACGUGAAGGACACGUCGGGGGAGGUGAAGGAGCUGGAUGAUCAGGCGGCGGCGGUGAUGAAGGCGGCGCGGGCGGAGAUCUCGGCGGCGCUGAACCAAAUGAAGAAGGAGUCGUCGGCGGAGCUGGAGCAGAAGCUGGCGGAGGGGCGGAAGCGUGUGGAGGCGGAGCUGGCGGAGGCGCUUCAGAACUUGGAGAGGCAGAAGGAGGAGACCAUCAAGGCGCUGGACUCCCAGAUUGCGGCACUCAGCGACGAAAUCGUCAAGAAGGUCCUGCCCACAGUUUAAUCUUCUUCUUCUUCUUCUUCUUCCCGGGUGCGAUGGAAAUCCUCAUCUUUGCUCUUUAACUAUUGGCUCGUCUCUCUGCUUUUGUAUUCAGAUGCAAAUUCUUAAUCUCAUGUUAUAAACUCUCAGCAGCUUCUGUUUCAUUUUUCUGUUGACGUUAUAUUUUUGCUACUCGUUUUAUACAAUUAUAUACACAAGUGGAGACUCAAAUAAUACAGCAGCCUUUUAUCUGCUGAUGAUGUCUAAGGGGUGAUUUAUCAAAGAUUUCCAACUUUAUACAAAAAUUUAUAAUGUAUUUUUAUAUCUUCAAAUUGAAAAAAAAUGAAGAUAAUGGAAAUACUCUAAUCUUAUUAUGUUAAGAGGAGAUCCUAUCAACAACAGUUAAAAUUUUUACCAAUUAGGUUAUCUAAUUUUCUUUUUUUAAAAAGCCUUAUGGUUUCAUACACUCAUCUCCUCAUAUUAGAUUUUGAACCCUAAUCAUUUAUGAAUAGACGUGGGAUAUAAAUGAUUGUGUUUGAAAACAUAUUUUUAUUUUUGAUGUGUAGUUGAAGAACAAGAUUUGAGUGAAUCUGUAGUUGUGAAAUACUUUGAUUGUUUGAUAAUAUUAGAUAAAAAUUAUAUUUUAAAUAUGGAUUAGUGUAGGUGUUAUUUAAUAAAAUUAUAUUUCAAAAGUUCUUCAUUAAAUAUUUUGUAACAAAUUUACUCUUUUUAAUAUUUUUAAUAUUUAUUGAAAAGUAAAUAUAUAUAUUUUUAUUCAAAUAAAUAAAUAAAAUAAAUUCCUAUAAAAAAUUUGUAUGACCUAAAUAUAUAGUAAAUAAAAAAUAUAAUCAUAUAAAUAAAUACAAAUAAUCUUUAAAAAAUAUUUUUAUGUUUAAAAAAUAUAAAUCAUAUUUAUUUCUUACUACAUCAUUUUGGUAAUCUUAUAAUUUUGGAGAAAGUCAUGGUGUCCUUCAAAACUUAAAAAAAUUAUAUUAGUUUGUACUUUCGAAACUUAAAAAAUUAUAUUAGUAUCAUAUAAAUCUUGAAAUACUAAUGUUAUCCUGAGGUAAUAUCAACAUUUGAACAUUUUCAAAAUAAUAUUCAAGUCAAGAGUAAUUUUUUAAAAAAAUUAUCAAACAUCAAUUCAUAUUUGAAAUAACUAUUGAGCCCUCAAUGCAUGUUUCAUGUAUUCCUAAAUGCAUCUAUAAUUAUUAAACUAAUGAUUUAUAUGUAAUUUCAUUAAUCUUAUCCAAUAGGUGUUGUUAAAGAGUAAAGAUAAUCUUAUUCCAUCCAAUUACUCUCUUCUCUCUCUAAAAUUAAUUUGACUCAAAUUAGAUUUGAUGGAUCAAUUUAAUAUAUCUUUUAUUUACAUAAAUUUAAUUAAUUUAAUAUAAUAAGUUAUCACAUGUCAACAACAACUCAAGAAAAAGGAAGGAAAUGAAAAAAAUGAGACAGAUAUCAGAUUUGAUUUUUAUUAAAGAUUAUAAAUCUUGACUAAAGAUUUUAAAAUUUCAUGAUGCAAAAUUAUCAAUAAAAAAUAUCAUCAAUAAGAAAAAAUAUUUUUAAAUUAAGUAAAAAAUAUUGAUAUGAUUUUUAUCUAUAUUUUAUAAUUUUAUUCUUAUAUUUGUCUAAUUAAAAAGUACUAUUAUUAUAUUUUGAAUAGUAUGAUUUAAUGGUGCGAGAGGUAUGGAGUUGUAAGAUAUUACGGGAAGAUGUUGUUACGGUGGAGCCCGACAUGGUUCGGACUUGUAUGUGCAAAAUUGUUGGAAGUACCUCCAAGGUGAAAACAUCGAGCUCCCAAUUUGUCAUAUUCACAAAGAUUUUUCAAUUCAAUCUCUCCAAUACUUAAGUUAGUAAUAUAAUAUAUAUUAGUGUAGAUGUGAGUGGUCACAAAGAUAUCCUCCCUUUUAUUGUAUUGAAAAUGAGCCUUAGUUAUAAAGGGAUAGAAUAAUUUAUUGAAUAUUCUACAAUAAGGCAACCUUUAAUCACCUCUAACAAUUAUUUCUUAAAGUUUUAUCUACGUGGGCGAUAAAAGGGGUCAGGUCUUCCUGAUCUCCAUGGCUCAAAGAGGACCGUAAGUGAGAUGUGCAGGUGCUAUUGGCGACGAUGCGAUAGGUUGCAGAGACUCCUAUCGAUGGCCUGCCCCUCCCAUCACUGAAGAAUCCACCUUAGGUAGAGGCGGGGGCUGGGUUUCCCGACCUCCAUACCUUAGGCAGAGGAGAGGGGUCAGGUCUUCCCGACCUCCAUGGCUCGAUGAGGACCAUAGGCGAGAGGUAUGAGCAUUGCUAGCGAAUAUCUAUCGUCGACCUGCCCCUUCUAUUGCAAAGGGACCCACCUCAAGCGGAGGGGGCUUGUUUCUGCUCGAGGUGCCUGCAUAUCCCGAUUUUCUUUUUUGCAUGGGCCACCAAGUCGCUGGGCUAUAUUGUGUAAUCGCUUGCCCACUUUGGGUAAAGAAAGGGUUGAUACUUGACAUCCCUGCUUCGGGAACUCUUCAUGACAAGUUUUCCUAAUUCACGUACAUCAGACACAUUUUGUUUUAUGCUUCUCGUCAUGACAAGUUUCUUCUUGUAGGAUCAUAUUUUUUUUCGAUUCACGGGCCUUGCAUAUUUAGUUUCGUACCUCCUAUCAUGGCGAGUCCUUCCUACGUUGGUCAAUUUUUUUCGACUCACACACCUCGGACAUAUUUUGCCUUGUGCCUACUGUCGUGAUGAAUUUUUUCUUAUAUGGGUUAGGUUUUUUCGACUCAUGCACCUCAUACAUAUUUUUAUUUAUGCCUCUCACCAUGAUGAGUUUUUUCUUACGUGGGUAAAGUUUUGUCGACUCAUGCACUUCGGGCACAUUUUGUCUUAUGCCUCACAUUGUGAUAGAUUUCUUCUUAUGCGGGUCAAGUUUUUUCGACUCACGCACUUGGAGCAGAUUUUUCCUUGUGCCUUCACCCGUGGUAAGUUUCUUCUUAUGUAAGUUGGGUUUUUCCGACUCACGUAUCUCAGGUACAUUUUACCUUAUGCCUUCUAUCAUACUGAAUUUAUUUUUACAUGGGUCAGAUUUUCCACUCAUGUGUCUCAGGCACAUUUUGCCUUGUGCCUCCUGCCAUGACGGGUUUAUUUUGAUGCAAACCGAGUUUUCUUGACUCAUAUGCCUUAAGCACAUUUUAUCUUAUGCCUCCAACGGUGGUUGGUUUCUUUAUAUGUGGGUCAAGUUUUUUUUACAUAUGUGCCUCAAGUACAUUCUGCCUUGUGGCUCUCACCGUAACAGAUUUCUUCUUAUGCACAUUAUGUAUUGUGCCUCAGGAACAAUGCACAAUGCACAUUUUACGCGGGUCAGGUUUUCCCAAUUCAUACACAUCAGGAACAUUUUACCUUGUGUCUCUCAACGUGAUAGAUUUCUUUUUACGCAUGUUGGGUGUUUACAACUCACGCUCUGGGCACAUUUUACAUUGUGCCUUGCAUCGUGACAGAUUUCUUUUUACGCGGUUCAGGUUUUCUCGACUCAUAUGUUUCGAGCACAUUUUAUCUUGUGCCUCUCGCUGUGAUAGGUUUCUUCCUACACGAGUCAGGUUUUCUUAACUCACAUACCUUAAGUACAUUUUAUCAUGUGUCUCCCAUUAUGAUGGGUUUCUUUCAUGCUUUUGAGGUAGUCUUCAUGCAUCGAUCACUUUUUCACUUUCUAACAUGGUCUUUACAUAUUAAUUAAUUUUGCACUUUCUGAGGUGCCCCUUGUCUUUAACUUAUACUAUCACUAUUACGCGUAGUCCUUCUUGACUGCAUACAAGACACCGGCUUUAUCAUUCAUUAGUAAUUCCUCAUGAUUGACAAUCUCCACGUGGAGGUGGAGGGGUUGAAGAGGAAGGGAGAAAACUUGAGUCGAGAAAAACCUGAGUCAUUGAAUAGAUGUUAGUAUCACAUCGGCGUUUGCAUCGAGGUUGAUGUUGGGCUGAUGGCCCAUAUUCAGCCCAUGUGGGCUUUAUCCGCCCACAGCCCACACCCCCUCUUAACCUAACCCUAAUUAAGAUUAGGGGGUGUGGUGGCUGCGUUUUAGAUGUAGAUUAAAGCUAUAAAAAGACAGCAACGAGGCAGAUCUUGGUAGCCACGAGAUUCCAAAGAGAAGAAGGAGAACAAGGCAGAAAAGGAAGAGAAAGAAAGGGAAGAAGACAAGGACAACGCAGAGAGACUGUUCUCAAUCAUCUAGCAGUGUUCUCAUCUCAGGUUAGAUCAAAUCUACAGUAGGCUCUUGCUGUGAUUACUUGGGAGGUUUUAGAUAUUGUGGGCAGUGACGUGAUCCUUGUAUCCUAGUUAUUCUCUUGUGGUUGUUGCUAGGGUUUUGGGUAAGAGAUUGAGAUUUGUACAUUCAUUAUUCUCAUAGUGGAUUAUCUCUAGUUUGCCCCGUGGUUUUUACCCUUCACAUUGAAGGGGUUUUCCACGUAUAUCUUGGUGUUCUGUUUGAUUGUGUUACCAUUUUAUUCCGCUGCGUAUUUUGGUCUUCUAGUAUUUGUUCCUAUACAAAGGUUAUUCCUGUUUAUAUCCCCAUCAGUUGAGGCACCCAUGUGUAGAAAAGGUGGUUGCUACCCCCACAAAUAAAAGUACUAUCGGUUUAGGACAAAGCCUCCUUGCUCGAUCGUUCAUUGAGUGAGUCAACGAAUGAAUAUUCUUCUGACAUCCAAGUCCUUCUAGCAUAAAAAAUGAUACUGGAAGAUGUCAUUGACAUCCUAGUCGGCCUGACAUGAUCUGGACCCAUGUGUGCUGGGUUGUCCGAGAUGCUUAUGAAGUAGAAAUACCGAGUUUCUAAGAUGCUAUCUAUAAAAAAAAUCGAGAUCGAGAGAGGUUUCUCAAUCCAAUCCCUCUCACGCCCAAGUUAAUAAUUCGAGGUAGGUGAAUGUGAAUACGAGUGGUAAAAAAUUGAUCAAUUCUUUCAUUUUGUUGAAGAUGAGUUUUUAUACUUGAUCAUUAUGAGGUAAAAUAUAUUAUGAAAUAUUUUACGAGGAGGUAGCCUCUUAUUGCCUUUAACAACACCUUAUUGGUCUUUUAUUCAUGUGAGCGACAAAGAGGACAACAUAUAAUUGCUUGCUUUGAACUCUUAUCCACCUGGAUAAACAUAUGGAGGGUGACCUUCAUCUUUCCCUUAUAGCUUGAAUACCAUGUGAAGGUCUUAUGUCGAUUGAUGAUUAGUUAACGAUAUUUUUCUUAUCACAAGAUAUUAACGUAUGAGUCCGCAUGAAAUGAUUUCGUUUCUCCUAUUAUUUUUUAUUUUUUUAUUUUUUCUCUUUCCCAUGGUUCCUCAUACAUCAGUAUCAAAGAUUUUGUUUUUCUUUAAACAAUAUAAAGCUCGUAUUACCCAAGCAAACUUACCAACUAAAUUUUUGUGAUAUAAAGUAAUUGGUAAUUGAAGAUUUCAAAAAAAUACAUGCCGAUCCUAACACACAUACAUAAUAUUACACAGUCAACCACUUGUGUUGUUGGAUGUAAUUUAAUGCUUGAUUAGGUGCUAGAUUUUGAUGUAUCAGUCCGGAUUAUUAUAUUCCUAUUCCUAUAAGUAACGUUCUCUCUUAUUCUUAUCAUAAAUCCUCUCUCUCUCUCUCUCUCUCUCUCCUUCUCUUUCUAGCCAUCCUCAAACACUCAUGAAUCCUCUUUUUUUUGGUCGAACGUUAUCAUCCACUGUAUGAUUCAACCAUUUCACACUCCGUCCCUCUCUGUUCCGGAUAUGAUGCUCCGAAUGUUUAGCUCGGAGUCAAUCGAGUCCUCCUUAGUUGACUCGCGGACGUCCUAACCUCGAAGCAAUUCAUCUCUCAAUUAACUAUUUUGACAAACGGAGAGCACGUCGGACGUAUCCGUUGCAAAAGACCUGUUACUGACACAGGCGACGACAAAGAAUCCUCCAUUACGAGGCACCCCCCACAUGCCCCUCACGGGACUUCCAUCUCUCUCUCCUUCCUCCUCCCCAUUAUUGUAAUCAAUCUCCAUUAAUUAGCUCCAGCUAAGUUUCUCCACCAUUUCCCGCUCUCGUGCUCCCCCUUUCCCACCCUAACGCAGGAGAUGCCGACCUUUCCCUUCCCAUCGCGCAGGCAAAGCUGUCCACGGCCGGCCGUAGCGAGUACAGUGUCCGGCUACGGACUUGCGAUCCAACGGUCGACAGUCCCCCGCAGCGGGGAGCCCCUCUGCGCCCGCUUCCCGUCAUCUCGACUCAUCGUCUUUUUGACCGCUUUCUCCCUGUGAUGGCGCCCCAAAACGGUCGACUUCCUGGGCGUGGGUCCCUUCCGCCACCGGGAAUAUACAGGUGAUCCGACGCCCAUUCCACAACACGGGAUUGCUCCAACACGCACCGAUAAGCCGACACGUGCCCCUGCCGUGACCCUCCCCCGAACCGUUCCUCGUGGGUGGAGAAUAGCCGAUCCGUAUGUGGUUCUCGAUGCCGCCCCACUACCACACAAAACGAGUACGUGGGUGGAGCCCACUCUGCCAUACCUUGCCCCCGCCCAUGCGAACGCUCCCAGCUCGCUCACCCUCCCCCUCCCCCUCCCCUCGAGUCCUUCUAGUUAUAAAGCCCACUCUCUCCCUCACUCCCCGUCUUCGCCAUCCCCCACCUUUACCCCGCGCUCCGAGAAAGAAAUCCGGCAAUAUCAUGCUCUGUCCGUCUCGGAGCAUGGGGCUUCUUUUGUUCUGCUCCUUCCUCCUCCCCCUCUUCUUAUCUUACUCAGGUGAUUUGACUCUCUGACCGCCAUGCUCAUUUUGCUUGUUUCGUGCUAAAUGUGCUUCCUCCUCGUGUUAUUUCUUUGCCCAAUCUGCAGAAGCAGGAACUGUUGGUGUGAACUAUGGACGGGUGGCCAACAACCUGCCGCCAGCGACGAAGGUGGUGGAGCUCUUGAAGUCGAACGACAUCGGCCAUGUCAAGCUUUACGACGCCGACCCUACCGUCCUCCGCGCCCUCGCCGGCACCGGUAUUAAGGUGGUGGUCACCAUCCCCAACGAGAUCCUCGCGGCCACCGCAUCUCGCUCCGGCUUCGCCUUCGCCUGGGUCCAGCGCAACGUCGCCGCUUACUACCCCUCCACCCAGAUCGAAGCCAUAGCCGUGGGGAAUGAGGUGUUCGUUGACACACGGAACUUCACAGCAUUCCUCAUCCCGGCCAUGCAGAACGUGCACGCCGCGUUGUCCCGCCUCCGCCUUGACAGCGCCGUCAAGGUAUGCUCCCCCAUCGCCCUCACCGCGCUCCAGGCCUCCUACCCCCCCUCCGCAGGCUCGUUCCGGUCCGACCUGGCUGAACCAGUGAUGCGGCCCAUGCUUGAGCUCCUGCGCACUACCGGCUCUUACCUCAUGGUAAAUGCCUACCCGUUCUUCGCGUACGAGGCCAAUGCUGACGUGAUCUCCCUCGAUUACGCCCUCUUUCGCCCCAACGAGGGGGUGGUCGACUCUGGGAACGGCCUCCGCUACUACAGCCUCCUCGACGCACAGAUCGACGCCGUCUUCGCCGCCAUGUCUGCCCUCAAGUACGACGACAUCAAAAUAGUCAUAUCCGAGACGGGAUGGCCGUCCAAGGGCGACUCCAACGAGACGGGCGCCGGAGCUGCGAACGCGGCUGCCUACAACGGGAACCUCGUCAGGCGGGUUCUGUCGGGCAAUGCCGGCACGCCGCUGAGACCCCAAGCCGACCUGAACGUCUACGUCUUCGCGCUGUUCAACGAGAACCAGAAGCCAGGGCCGACGUCGGAGAGGAACUACGGGCUGUUCUACCCGGACGAGGGAAAGGUUUACGACAUCGAGUUUACGCUCGGCGGUACCAACAGCGGAGGCGGAGGGUUGCGGUGGGAGGAAGACAGAGGAAGGUCCAAAGGCGGCAGCAAAGGCAGUGGCUCCCCUCCCACGCUGCCACAGCCGUCAUCCUCCGGCACGGUGCGGGCGAGCUCGACAGGGGAGAGCUGGUGCGUGGCAAACGCGAUGGUGGGGAAGGCGCGGCUUCAGGCGGCGCUGGACUUCGCAUGCGGCGAGGGCGGAGCGGACUGCCGGUCGAUCCAACCGGGGGCGGCGUGCUUCGAGCCCGACACGGUGGAGGCGCACGCGGCCUACGCCUUCAACAGCUACUACCAGAGGAAAGGACGAGCCAUCGGCACGUGCGACUUCGAGGGCGCCGCGUACCUCGUUUCCCAGCCACCCAGUAAGUUCCCCCUCGCUUGGCGCCCCCCCUCCCCCAUCUCAUCGACGCCCUUCUUCGCACGUUGGGAACGAGAUCUACGGUCCGGAUCUCGUGAAUGCCGGCUUAGGAUUCCCGGUAGCCCAAAGCGAUGGGGAACAGUGCGGUUGACAGCACUGCCCGAUGUGACGUGACUCAUCAUGUCCAUUGGCAGUAGUGACCACAACGUGUCGCUUUAUGUGUGUGUAAACUUCCAUUGGGUUUCGAUGGUGCCCACCACAACACACAACUGCUGCUAGGUUGCAUACAUACAUACUUUUUGACUCUGUUGUUUGCUAAUCGGUGUUGCAUUGUGGUGAUGUUGCAGAGAUUGGUAGGUGUGCAUUUCCGUCCGGAGCGUGAACGAACAAUCAAUGCCGAGUACCAAAGAGUUAGAUAUGAAGGGAAGAACAUAAGUGAAAAGGGUGGGAGACAGGUUGGGGUAGGGUGGGAGCAUCUUCUUUUUGGUGGCACUGUUAAAACUAUCAUGGAUCUCUGUAACAUAGCAUGCAUGUGAACCAGUGUAGUAGUUGUCUGACCCAUGUUCCUUUUAAUAUUUUUUAUUUUGGGUUAGUGCCUUACAACUUUAGUGUUGGCUUGUGCAUACUCCUUUAGUUGCACCAAUUCUGAUGUCUUGUUGUAACUCGAACAUUUUAUUAGUCUAUUGUCAUAAUCUUAAGAAAAAGCACAUGCGGGUAGGGUUUAUUCCUAUACCGUCCGAUUUACUAGCGGAUCGGACUUUAAUUGGAUCCGAGUUGCAUUGGAACAGUUGCUAUGUCGACUCAACAUGUCAAUCAAGAAAGUCACAUUAUAUGCACGACAAUGCAGCGAUAACAUGGAACAGUUGGGAUGAUCCCUAACGUUGAAUAAACACGUGAAAUUGCUCCCUCGAAUGAAUUCCCUGCUCAAAUCUCUACGAAAACCCUCCGAACCUAUAUUACUCUCCUCGCACGGUACUAACAUUGGUAUCGUACGAGACUUUUAUGUCGAGUAAAUUCAUCUUCUAUCAUGGAACAUAUGAUGGCGUAGUUCUAAAGUGCGAGUUGGGCGAGCACAGGAUGGCCCAUGGGUUGUGCUUGUGGCGUAGCUUUGGGUGGUGCGGCUGAGCCGAGCACGAAUCGAAUUAGGAAUCUGAGUCGAGUCGGAUUGACAUCGAUUUGGGUUCGCCGCCGGAUGAAAUUUGUCGGCAGGUCGCGUUGUCGUUCCACCAAAUGCUGUUCGCUGUUCGUGUUGCUUCGCUAACUCAUCCUAAUCUCCACGUUUCCUCAUACAUCCAACGCAGUAAUCCGUGGUGGUUUCCCCUUUUGCCUUUUACCUUUUCCGCUUUCCUGUGUCUCGCCCGCGUGGCCGGUCACCGCUCCGCCGCUCCCGCGCUCUGUCGCCGGCCCGCGCGCGCAACCCAAUCGUCUGGCUUCGACGCAGAGCAGGAACGGAUCCCAAAGCGGAGAGAGCGACACGUCAGACUCGUCGCAGCGAGCACUCGGCGAAAGAUAAAAAGAUAAAAAGAAUAACGAAUUUUCAAGAAGGGCAUAGUAACGGCGGUAACGUGGGUGACGUCGUCGUCGCGGAUGUGGCGAGGCCGCGAGGCAUCGAGCUCGGACGCCCCUUGGAAGCAAAGCGAAGUGUAUUAAUUGGCCCCAAGCGGCCUUCUGUCUCUUUCUCUCUCUCUCUCACGCUAUCUCUCGAUCUGUUUCUCCGGCGGCCUUAUAUCUUGCUUUGUACUCCUAUUGGUAUCCCGAUCUAGCGGAAACGUUCAAGGUGCUGAUGAGGUUCGGUCGAACCGGUGGUGGUGAGCGAUGGAAGCAUUUUGACCUGAUCAGCGGUUUUCUUCUUCUUUUUAACUUCAUCCUGACGCCAGAUUUGGUGUUUUGGGGAUAAAUUUUUGGCUUUGAUUACUCCUAACAGAAGGAUAAUUUCUUUUUGCAGCAGAAUUGCGAUGGGAACUCGUGAGGAUCGCUGCUUCUUUCCUCUCACGAGUUUGCAGAUUGGGUAAGAACUAGUAUUGAUGUGUUCUUGGUUCCGUAUGGUUUUCUAGAAACGGUUUUGUUAUCGCUCCCCUGUUUCUACCCCUAAAUCAACUUAAUUUGGUAAGAUUAUCUAGUUGACAUAUUGGACUGAUAUGUGAAAUAUGAACGCUAGAAGCAUGGAUUUAAUGGGAAAGAAGAUGGGGAAAUUUCAACUCUAGGUUACAAAAUUGUGAGAGAAGAAAUCGUAGUUCAGUGAAAUCUUUAUGUAGUUUAUAACCUUAUAUAAACACCUUCCGUGGAAUUAGUAGUGCCCUUUGAUGGUAUCCGUGUCAUUUGAACCUGGAUAUUUCUAAUACGCUCUUAUUGACCUCCAUCACAAGAUGUCAACAGAUGGUGCAUAGGAUCUCUGCUAGAAGUAGAACCGCUCACUUGUCACCUAUUCUAGAUCAGUUGUAGUCUAGCCUGGUUGCUCUGUUGGCGAUGAUAUUCCCCAUAUUUGAUCAGAUUCUUGGUGAAAUCCUGCUGGUGGCAUGAUCUGCACAGUCUCCUCUCAAGCAAUAGGUCAUCAAGAAAGAACAAAAAGUAGACAAUUGAAAUUGCAUCAUGAAGAUAUAUCUAUUUCUUUUUCUCAAAAUUUUUCUUCUGUUUUCUUGGUGGCAUACUGAAUUGGUACUUGUCAAUAUCCCCCUAUGGUGAGGUAAAUUGUAGGUUGGACUAGGGAAUGGUAUGGGCUGUCUUGCUGAUAAGGCAAUAUUUAUAUGAUGGUUAAUUAAAUAUUUGUUUUAUUGAAUCGUCUCAUUUACAACAAUACUCUCUGUCUACAAUGAUUACAGAUAUAUCUUAAAUAACUCAUUUACAUGUUCAUUUUUUUGGGUUUCAUGGAUUAUCAUUGUUUUUAAAACUCGAAUGGCAUCAUGAAAUAGUAUGCCAUCAGAUAAUCGGGGUGUCGUGUGGACAUAUAUAUGAGACAUAUGAGCAAUGUUAUGUAAAACAUAUGCAUUAUAAAGAGGGUUUGAUAGACUAAUAAGCCAAUGUAUCCAUGGUUGUUGCUAUUUCUUUAGAGACAAAUAUUUCUAAAUAUGAUUUAUCAAAAGAAAACUACAUUUUGAUAUGUUGCAUUUGUCAAAACUUUUCAGUAUCCUGAUUCUCUUUUAUCCUUUUGCAAUGUAUUUGUAGUAAUCAAGCAAUAACAGGUUAGUUGUUAGGCACCAGAUCCAGUGCUUAAGCGACUGCGUAGCUUGGAGGCCCUUUGAGUGCCAAGGGAAGGGUGUGCUGACAAACCCUUUUGCUAAUGCUGGCUCGUCCUGGUUAAUAUGGAUCUCAUGUUGACCAUGCUAAUUGGCAUAUACUGUGGCAACAAUGCAUUAUGAUCAUCUGUUUGCACGAGUUUAAUUCUUAAUUCAAGAGUCUCAGUAACUGUACUUUGUGAAUUCCCAUCUCAAACAGCAAUUUAAGAUUCCAGGAAUGGUACCUAGUGAAUUCUCAUCUCAAACAGCAAUCCAAUUUUCCUCAUUGAAUUCAUGUUUAAUGGAUUGUAAUCAUGUGCAGUGUGUCCAAUGAUUUUCCUCUAUGACGUCUUAAUUUUAUCAGCAUAAUCAGUUGCUCUAGCAUCCCUAAACGUUUAAACUUUGGCAACUUUGAAAAAUAAAAACUGCUACCUGUUCAACUUAAAAUUUAUUGUCUAAUCCUCAAUCCUGAAUGUUAAAAUCUUGCUAUAUCAGUAUACAAUUUUUCUCUUCUUUUCUGUUUUGGUCGCAGUUUUUGCUCAGACAACAUAGGCUUUCAGAUUAUGAGUUAUCAUUAACUCGUUGCCGUUUUCUUCUCCAAUUUUCUUCUCUAAAAUCUUUUUGUAAGUUGAGACUUUUAUUUUUCUUCUUUAUAGUUUGUUUAUGUUUUCCCAUGUUGGUUGGGUAUUCAGAAUUUGGUGUAAACUAUCCGAAUGUUGCUAUCAACUAUCAAAUUUUCACUAAAGUUCAGGCUUCUUGUAGCAAGGUAUUUCAUGGAAUUGAGUGUUGAUAAACCUAUGUUAACUUUGAUUAAGAAAUGUAUAGUUGUCCCAGAAACAGUAAGAAAAAUGUAUGCAUUGUUUAUUUUUUUCAAUAGUUUUGUUGGAGUUCAUGAUUUGCAUAUUUUUAGGGUGCCAACCAGGUUGUGGAUUACUAGCCAACUUUCGCAGGGAGUGCAUAUAUCAUAUUUGGGUUCAACUAUUUCAUUUAUCGUUGCAUCUCCUUUAAGAAAAAAAGGUCCUGCCAGUUGACUUUCAAGACAGAAAUUACUAAGAACAAGCUUUAUUAUCCAAGAGUGAUAUGAUUAAUCUGGUCAAUUAAAUGAUUAAUAAACAAGCAUGACUCUGGUAAGUGUUGGUAUUAUGUUCCAUGACACAUGGUAUGUCAGCAUACCAAUCAUCACCGAGGUGGGAGAAGGAGGAGGAGAAGGAGAAGGAGAAGAAGAGGAGGGGGAGGAGAGGUGGUUAAGGAGAGGAACAGGAAGAGGAGAACAAGAAGAGGAGAAGAGAGGGAGAGCAGGAAAGGAAUGGAGGAGGAGAUGUACUAGGCAGGCGGGCAAGGAUGGUGGCAGUGAAUAGCAGGCAAUGGUGAACAAUGGGCGGCUGUGGUGAGCAGGGGUGGGUUAAGGCAAGUUGAGAGAAAGCAACCGGAGGAGAAACAGAGAGAGGUACUAGAAAAAGACAAUGAAGUUAUCAACCAUCAAUUAUUUUAUAAAAACAUCAUGGGAUAGAUUAAGCAAGAGAGAAAGAGAGUGUGCCAGGGUGGGCUUAUCAUCCGGUUUCUGCAAGUUACCAGAUGGUGACAUGCUUACUGUACCAAACCAAGUGAAAAAGCCCUGGUCUGAACCGGUAAAUACCAUCCAAUACAGACCGGUCGAAGCAAAAUAUAAUGUUGUGAUCCAAAUUUCUUUAAUAUAUAUUAUAGAUUGUUGAACCUGAUCUGCAUAUGAAAUUUGUUGGUCAAGCAUUUGUCAUGCUUGGGGAUACGGUUUUUCUCGGAUGCUAAUAUAUGGAUUUCUUACAAAAGAUUUAUGUGUCAAAUAUUUCUGUGAAGCCAACAUGCUACUGCUAUAAAAUUGAUAGGACUAACUCCAUAUUUGGGUUUCCUUUGUAGGGAUUUGCAGUCCUAUCUCUCACGUUUGACUCUCUUUUUGCCGAUAAGAAGUCAGAAGUUCUUUAUCCUUGUUGAUAACCGUCCAUGGUUGAUUGACCAGGAUUCACGAGCUGCUCACUUGUGGCAGUUAAUGGUUACUAAGGUAAAUGUGGAAACCUUCAAAGUCAUACUCUUCAUAUGUGCGAGUCAAUUGUAUAUUUCAGUUAAAUUUUUGUCAUUCAGUCUAGGUUAUCUCCUUUUGCAAACACCAGAGCUGCUAGAGUGACAAGAAGAGAUAUUGGAAAGAUUUUAGAGUUUACAAAUAGCUCUAGAUCCCUUUCCAUCACUAGAAACAGAUUGCGCAGAUGGUUCUCACUGAUCGAUACUGCUUUAAGUCAAAAGAAAAAGUUGCUCCAUGUCAAGAAACUGAAGGCCUCAUUCCUCUUCAAUAAGGAGUUGCACUGUACAUUGUAUGGAUUCAUUGUUUUCGAAGUACAAUGGGCUCAUGUGCGUGGUAUCAACUACAUCAAUGAACUGCAGGUAUCCUAUAUUUUUUUAAUUUCCUAUUUUAACCAGUAUAUAUGCUGUUUGUCUCUGACCUAGUAGAAGUUUUCUUUUCUGUAUUUGUGAUUACUCACAUAGACUGAUACGUCAAUGGCAUUGGAAGCUAAAUUGAUGAAAAGGUGGGAAUUUGAUAGUAUUGAACAGUCUCGUAGCUGCAUUUCUUCCUGGUAUACAGGGACCUGCAAUGAGAUUAAUCUGCUUCGGGAGUAUUUAGAAAGUAUCUCCAACAAAGGUAAUGCAGAACUCAGAUUUCUGUUACGUCUCAUGAGUCCCUUCUUCUUGACAACCAUGUAUCAUCUUUUCCAGGAGAUGUGUUUUACGAUGCUCGGGAAGAUCCUUUUACCACUACUGAAAUGAGGGAAAAUCUUCACAGUGCUGACGAAUUCCAUGAGGAAAAACAUAAUUGUAGCUAUUCUAAUUUUAUCCCUAUGCUUGAAAGAAUGGAAGAUUCAGGUUCACCCUACACACCACCUGUUUCUGGGCCAUACAAGCGAAGAAAGAUAAUGAAAUCAAGUGUGGGCAGUGACACUGAUGAAGUUUCUGAGGAAGCAUACAGCGAAAUUGUGAGCUCACCAACAAUUUCUGAGUCCUCGUCUUGUUCGUCCAGUUGUGAAAGUGAGCAUGCUAGUUUAGUUUUUGAGGCUAGCACUUACAAGGAUGUGCUCAUCUUAUUCAGAUUUGAUGAUCAUGAUCUCCCAUUUAAGCUUAAGGAAAUAAUUAUGGCUGACUUGAGGCUACUUACAUUAUUGGAGUAUGGACUUCCUUCAUGGGUCAUUUUUCUCCAGUCCUACCCAGUAUUUUGCAAAAUAUAUCGUCCAUGGAUGUGUCCUCUAGCAAGGGCCUUAUAUGUCUUGAUUUCUAUAACCACUGUCCUCAUAGGUUUCUAUGACCUAUAUAAGAAUGUUCCCAUACUAAAGGCAACUGCAUCAAGCUUAUUUGGGCCAUUCUUCGAUUGGAUAGAAUCUUGGGAAAUGAUUUCAAGGAUCAAGUACCUGGGGACUAUACUAUUUCUUCAUAACUGUGAGAAAGCUUUCAAGUGGUUCCUGAUGGUUGCACGUGCUACUAAGUCAUUAUUAUCAGUUUUGACCAAGCCAAUUGCGGGUCCAAUUAUGGAACUUUUUGAAUUUGUCUUCCCCAUCUGGAAUGUAUGUUUUGAUACAGUAGAAAGCUUAAGUUUGAUUGUUUGGAACAUGUUAUCCUCUUCAUGCAGCAUGAUCAUAACUAUAUUGGAUAUCAUUAUUUGGCCUUUCUGGUUCAUCUUUUCUACUUUAUGGAGUAUAGGUAUGAUAUCAGAUAUUUGUGCCUUUUUACCUAUAGUUGUUUGUCUUCGGUCUCCGCUUCUUCCUCUCUCUCACUUUUUUUCUACUUUUUUGUGUAACAGCGGCAUAUGUUAUAUACCCACUAGUUUGGCUCCUCUGGGAAAUUGUUAUAGCCCCUGCCCGCUUAAUUAUUGCAAUAGCAAGUUAUGUUGGGAUACUUCUCACCAACAUCUACUACGUACUAGAAGGAACCUGGUCAUCUAUAGGCGCUUUGUUUCAGCUUGCUUCUGUAUCUGAAGCAACAGUAGUUACCUAUGAAGUUCCAGUUUGGCGGUCACUUUGGAAUGAUAUAUUUUCCAAGGUUAAAUGCAUUUAAAUUGUAUAGUUAUACACUGAUGAAUAUCCAUGUUGAUAUCUUGGAAGUUUCCUUCUCAUUCUCCAGGUAUUUCGAGCAAUUCGAAGCAUUUUUUAUGGUUUUGUUGCUUUCUUUACAACUUGCAACAGACACCGACUAAGGUAUGUUUACUUUUUGUUACUAGUAUUUUGAGUUAGAACAUUUGCAUAAAUUAUAAAGCUUUCUGGUUAAAAUUAGUGGAGUUAUUGAAAAUGUGUUUUGUUGUCACCUAAACGAGCUUGAUCUUAUGCUACUUGGGGACUAUUUUACAAUAAUAAGAACUCAUUCAGUGCUUCAUGAGAAUGUUGUGCAACAUCUUGUGAAGCUUAACUAAAUCUAUACAAGACACUAUGACAUCAAUAACACCAUUAAUCUGUGAGAUCAACCGCAUGGAUCCAUUUUCACCAUUGAGUUAUAUAUUGAUAACUAUUUGACACAUGUUUGGCAUGUUCAUUGGUUUAUUGACGAGGCUAUUAUUGUUUUUUUCAGUGUGAUGUCAUCUCUAAGCAACGAAUAUCUAAUUCUUAACAUAUUACAUGGCUUGUGAGGACCUUACUAUCAGAUGAGCAACCAGGGAUACAGGGCUUAUUCAAUUAUGUAGCAAAUAAUAAUGGAUUAGUAGGUGAGCAAAAAAGGAAACCUCUUAAUUUGUAAGUCCUACCACUGAAAUGGAACUCUUUAUGAAGCUCCUAUGUCUGCUUCUCAGUAGCCUUGCUCUUGUCUUCAGCUUUGUCACUAGGCAAUUUUAAAACUCAGGACACUACAAAGCAAUAUAUCGAUAGAACUUAUAUCUUGUAUGGCUGUAAACCUCAGUUGAUGUAUGCAAAACACCAUCCUGAUCCACUUUGGUGCUACAUGGUCCAUCCCAUAUCUAUAUGCACACAAAUGGUCUAAAAAUCUGCAAUCGAAUGGUCAAUACCAGUCCAACGGAGAUUCGGGCCGUGCACUUGCUCGUUACAGGCAAUUCAGUUCCAGUUCAGCAUUUAAUUAUUUUAAAUAAAAUCUCUCUCUCUCUCUCUCUCUCUCUCUCUCUCUCUUAAUUGCCCAAGCGCUUCUCUUUCUCUUGAUGACGGCCACCCAAGCCACUUGGUGCUUGUUGCCUGGUUCCAGCAGUCCACUGCCCAUCAUUGACAACCGCCGGUACUACUCCCUUCUUUUGUCGCUGCCGUCUCUUCUCCUCUUCCCUACUGUGGCAUGUACCGACAUACCAUAUUAGCACACCAGUACAAAUUGGUCAUAUAUUGGUCUGCCCAGUGAUUAGUCAAGGUCUGGUACCUUCGAUUUUGAACUUUGAAUCAAGCAUCAUGUUGGAGGCACUUUGAAGUUCUCUAUCCACUUGGUGCCAGGAAAUCAUAUACCAUCAUCUGGUGUCGUAUUAAGUAACGCUAGAAACACAAUGGAUUUUCUAAGCAACUUGGAAAGAGUAAAUAUGUGAAUGUGCAAGGAACAAACAUAAAAAUGGUAUUAUUGAUAUUUAAUUUUGAUGAUAUGGGAUCACUUUUUAUCAAGUGCCUUUCAAGAAAACCAUCAAAUUGAGCUAGAAACAGAAGGCCUUUUGUUUUUCACAUUUAAAAUAGUAUUCAAUUGUAUCAUUAUGGAUUUGUUAUGUGAUGAUAGACGUCUUUAAGCAUGGAAAUUUUAAGUUGUAUAUGUAUUUUUUGUGUUGGGUAUUACUCCUUGGAUACAUGUCAGACACUUAUCCAAAAUAUCUGUUUUUUCAAAUAAUCACUGAAAAGGCCAUUCACUUAAGGAUUUACUUAUGGAUGAUUUUUAUUAAACAAGAAGAAUAGAUGUUCAGAUAGAUGUUUUAUAUUUCUGUUAAGCAUCAUAUUAUCAUUAACGAAAUUAAAAUGACAAUUUCAUGGGAACUUCUUGUAUCUUUUGUAUAGCCCAUGAUGUUACUAAAUUCUGUCCAUGUUGUAUCGCUAAUUAAUUGUUAAUAUUAAUCAUGAUAUGAAACAUAUUCUAACACUAUAAAGAUGUUGAGCUUCACCAUUUGUUGUAUCAACCUGUCUCUGUUGUCUUGUCUUGGUAUCCCAUAAAUAUCAAUGCUUUAAAGAUAGAAAAAGCUGGGAAACAAGGAUCUAUAGAAUAAUUGAAGGACAAAUAAAUGUUUUAUCAUUUAAAGCAAAUGAAUUUUACUUUAUAUGCAUAUUUUUUAGAGUUUUUCAUUCACAUUCUCCCUUCUUUCGACCUUUUUAUUUUUUAUUGUAAGACUUUGUUUGUAGUAUAGAUGUUGGCUGGAAUUGUGCAGCUCAUACUUGUUUACACCAUAAUGUAUUCUUUUUCAACAAUUCAUUCUUCUAUUUUUGUAGCAUCUACAACCACAUGCUUGAGUUUCUCCAUCGUUUUUCUCAUUCCACCUCAAGACGUUCCAAAUCCGACCAAGUUAGGAAGAAGGGAAGAAACCAAAGCCCUGUAAGUUUUUCGAAAUAUCUUGCUUAGGCUAUCCAGUGGUCUACAUGCCGACUUUCUUUAGUUUGCUUCUGUGAGAUAUUUCUCUUGUAGUCCUUUCCAGAACAGCUUUACUUUGAGCAUUCUGAAGAGGAAAUGGUAAUAUAUUUAUUUAAGAGUCUUGUUGCUUCUUGUAGAUGCGAUUUUACUUUUUAAAUGAAAACAUAUUAUUUUUUUGACAGUGUAGUUGAAUAUUUUCCUGUUUUACCUAUAGAUCCUUUUACUUGAUGGCAGUUUCAUGUCAAAGAAAGAGAAUGCCCUACAGCCAUCACUACCCUUGUCAUUGGUGCAUGCUUCUUUAGGCUGCAUAAUGUGUAUUAGUCUGCCAUAACGUAGCUUGUCAUUGACAGCCACGGAGAGAUAUAAAUAUGUAAAAGGAAUAUAAUUAUUUGUUUAGAAUCAACAAAUCAGUUCUACUUGCACACUUAUAGGGUUUGGAUUCAUCUAAACAAUGUCUAAUGCAGGAUAAGAAUGAUAAUAUUUCGGAUGGUCUUAUAGUAAACUUGUUUAUGUCAGGCAUCUAAAUGAUUUUUGUGUCAAGCAACUACGUGAUAAAGUGUGUUAUGACUUACGAGCACAGCAUUAUUUUUUGUUGCAAGGAUGAAAUGUAAUAGCUAUCAACAGUUAAGCACCUUAAUAUAUAUUUUGUAAGCCUUUGUAUAGAAUAAAAUGUAAAAAUAUCAGCCAAAUACUGGUUUUGACACUUUGGCAGACCUUUAUGGGAUAAAAUACUGUCUUGUUUGGCCUGGUAUAACUUAAUAAAAAUGGAAAAAAUGAAUACCACUGGUAUGAAGCUAUAUGGUCGGCUAAAUUAAUCUGACUUCCUAAAGAUAGAAUUUUAUCAUCGGUAGGUUUAUAAUAAAAACGAACUUAUCUUAUGUGUCACCUGCCAUUAAAAACCAUAAUUCAUUUCUCUGCUAGCUAUUGGAGGUUGGUAUCUUCAUGUCAAUAAUCUGAUGGAAGCUUUUUUUUUAUAAUAUAGAUAGGAUAAAUAAAGUGCUGUAGGUGAUUCAUAUCUUUAUUUAGAUGCCAGAACUUUUGACUUGUCAAAUCAUGUAACUUAUCAAGACAGCUUAUAAUUUUGACAUGGUAUACUUGAUAUCUUCCUCCCUCCCUGACCUAUUGUGGAAUUUACUUUUUAGAACCAUCUCCUGUAAACACAGUCUAUGCUUAAAGUUGCUGUUGCCAUCAGUUUAUGUUUUUUUGUCAUGUUCUUUAAAUUUUGAAGAGCUUACACGACGCUCCGUCCCUCUUCUGUCUCAUAAUUGUUUGUCUGUGUGCAGUUACAGGAAAGUGAAAAUUUAACACCUACGUGAGUUUCCUAAUAACCUUUUUAGCAUUAUUAUGUUUCAUUAUGCAAGCUGAUUUCUCAUGAUAGGAUGCUUCAUGGACUGUUUUAACUGGCAGAUGCAGUUUGCAGACACCAGAUAAACUUCGUCGAAGGCAGGCAAGGCGGCGAACACAUGAAACAUAGCACAACAGAUUGUAAAACCAGAACUGCAUAUUCUUUCAUUCUUUUCCUCAGACAAAAUACGUCCUACCCUCUUUGAGAAGUUCUGUAAAUGUCUUAAGCGGGUAUGAAAUCUCUCCCCACAGGCUGAAUGUUAGGUCAUUUUACUUGUAGCAUGUUCCUUACGGUGCUGAGAAAAUUUCUUCCAUGUAGUUUUGUGUGCUGAAAUCACUAUGACCUCUUCUUAGAAUAAUCAGUGAGUAGGGGUUUCUCAAAGUAGUUAAAUUGUAGAAAAUUGAUAUCCACGUACCAAAGUCAUUGUACUGAACCCAUGAACAUUCAUAUCAUAGAGAUGUUCAAUGGAGGCAUGUAAAUUAUAAUUGAG
rnacentral:lncRNA from 1 species